rnacentral:rRNA from 1 species
UUCCCUUAGUAGCGGCGAGCGAAACGGGAAGAGCCCAAACCAACAAGCUUGCUUGUUGGGGUUGUAGGACACUCUAUACGGAGUUACAAAGGACGACAUUAGACGAAUCAUCUGGAAAGAUGAAUCAAAGAAGGUAAUAAUCCUGUAGUCGAAAAUGUUGUCUCUCUUGAGUGGAUCCUGAGUACGACGGAGCACGUGAAAUUCCGUCGGAAUCUGGGAGGACCAUCUCCUAAGGCUAAAUACUCUCUAGUGACCGAUAGUGAACCAGUACCGUGAGGGAAAGGUGAAAAGCACCCCGGAAGGGGAGUGAAAUAGAACCUGAAACCGUGUGCUUACAAGUAGUCAGAGCCCGUUAAUGGGUGAUGGCGUGCCUUUUGUAGAAUGAACCGGCGAGUUACGAUUUGAUGCAAGGUUAAGCAGUAAAUGUGGAGCCGUAGCGAAAGCGAGUCUGAAUAGGGCGUUUAGUAUUUGGUCGUAGACCCGAAACCAGGUGAUCUACCCUUGGUCAGGUUGAAGUUCAGGUAACACUGAAUGGAGGACCGAACCGACUUACGUUGAAAAGUGAGCGGAUGAACUGAGGGUAGCGGAGAAAUUCCAAUCGAACCUGGAGAUAGCUGGUUCUCUCCGAAAUAGCUUUAGGGCUAGCCUCAAGUGAUGAUUAUUGGAGGUAGAGCACUGUUUGGACGAGGGGCCCCUCUCGGGUUACCGAAUUCAGACAAACUCCGAAUGCCAAUUAAUUUAACUUGGGAGUCAGAACAUGGGUGAUAAGGUCCGUGUUCGAAAGGGAAACAGCCCAGACCACCAGCUAAGGUCCCAAAAUAUAUGUUAAGUGGAAAAGGAUGUGGCGUUGCCCAGACAACUAGGAUGUUGGCUUAGAAGCAGCCAUCAUUUAAAGAGUGCGUAAUAGCUCACUAGUCGAGUGACACUGCGCCGAAAAUGUACCGGGGCUAAACAUAUUACCGAAGCUGUGGAUUGUCCUUUGGACAAUGGUAGGAGAGCGUUCUAAGGGCGUUGAAGCAUGAUCGUAAGGACAUGUGGAGCGCUUAGAAGUGAGAAUGCCGGUGUGAGUAGCGAAAGACGGGUGAGAAUCCCGUCCACCGAUUGACUAAGGUUUCCAGAGGAAGGCUCGUCCGCUCUGGGUUAGUCGGGUCCUAAGCUGAGGCCGACAGGCGUAGGCGAUGGAUAACAGGUUGAUAUUCCUGUACCACCUAUAAUCGUUUUAAUCGAUGGGGGGACGCAGUAGGAUAGGCGAAGCGUGCGAUUGGAUUGCACGUCUAAGCAGUAAGGCUGAGUAUUAGGCAAAUCCGGUACUCGUUAAGGCUGAGCUGUGAUGGGGAGAAGACAUUGUGUCUUCGAGUCGUUGAUUUCACACUGCCGAGAAAAGCCUCUAGAUAGAAAAUAGGUGCCCGUACCGCAAACCGACACAGGUAGUCAAGAUGAGAAUUCUAAGGUGAGCGAGCGAACUCUCGUUAAGGAACUCGGCAAAAUGACCCCGUAACUUCGGGAGAAGGGGUGCUCUUUAGGGUUAACGCCCAGAAGAGCCGCAGUGAAUAGGCCCAAGCGACUGUUUAUCAAAAACACAGGUCUCUGCUAAACCGUAAGGUGAUGUAUAGGGGCUGACGCCUGCCCGGUGCUGGAAGGUUAAGAGGAGUGGUUAGCUUCUGCGAAGCUACGAAUCGAAGCCCCAGUAAACGGCGGCCGUAACUAUAACGGUCCUAAGGUAGCGAAAUUCCUUGUCGGGUAAGUUCCGACCCGCACGAAAGGCGUAACGAUUUGGGCACUGUCUCAACGAGAGACUCGGUGAAAUCAUAGUACCUGUGAAGAUGCAGGUUACCCGCGACAGGACGGAAAGACCCCGUGGAGCUUUACUGUAGCCUGAUAUUGAAAUUCGGCACAGCUUGUACAGGAUAGGUAGGAGCCUUUGAAACGUGAGCGCUAGCUUACGUGGAGGCGCUGGUGGGAUACUACCCUAGCUGUGUUGGCUUUCUAACCCGCACCACUUAUCGUGGUGGGAGACAGUGUCAGGCGGGCAGUUUGACUGGGGCGGUCGCCUCCUAAAAGGUAACGGAGGCGCUCAAAGGUUCCCUCAGAAUGGUUGGAAAUCAUUCAUAGAGUGUAAAGGCAUAAGGGAGCUUGACUGCGAGACCUACAAGUCGAGCAGGGUCGAAAGACGGACUUAGUGAUCCGGUGGUUCCGCAUGGAAGGGCCAUCGCUCAACGGAUAAAAGCUACCCCGGGGAUAACAGGCUUAUCUCCCCCAAGAGUUCACAUCGACGGGGAGGUUUGGCACCUCGAUGUCGGCUCAUCGCAUCCUGGGGCUGUAGUCGGUCCCAAGGGUUGGGCUGUUCGCCCAUUAAAGCGGUACGCGAGCUGGGUUCAGAACGUCGUGAGACAGUUCGGUCCCUAUCCGUCGUGGGCGUAGGAAAUUUGAGAGGAGCUGUCCUUAGUACGAGAGGACCGGGAUGGACAUACCUCUGGUGUACCAGUUGUCGUGCCAACGGCAUAGCUGGGUAGCUAUGUGUGGACGGGAUAAGUGCUGAAAGCAUCUAAGCAUGAAGCCCCCCUCAAGAUGAGAUUUCCCAACUUCGGUUAUAAGAUCCCUCAAAGAUGAUGAGGUUAAUAGGUUCGAGGUGGAAGCAUGGUGACAUGUGGAGCUGACGAAUACUAAUCGAUCGAAGACUUAAUCA